rnacentral:rRNA from 1 species
GACAUAAGUAACGAUAAAGCGGGUGAAAAGCCCGCUCGCCGGAAGACCAAGGGUUCCUGUCCAACGUUAAUCGGGGCAGGGUGAGUCGACCCCUAAGGCGAGGCCGAAAGGCGUAGUCGAUGGGAAACGGGUUAAUAUUCCCGUACUUGGUGUUACUGCGAAGGGGGGACGGAGAAGGCUAUGUUGGCCGGGCGACGGUUGUCCCGGUUUAAGCGUGUAGGUGUGUGUUCCAGGUAAAUCCGGUUCACUUUAACACUGAGGCGUGACGACGAGGCACUACGGUGCUGAAGCAACAAAUGCCCUGCUUCCAGGAAAAGCCUCUAAGCAUCAGGUAACAUCAAAUCGUACCCCAAACCGACACAGGUGGUCAGGUAGAGAAUACCAAGGCGCUUGAGAGAACUCGGGUGAAGGAACUAGGCAAAAUGGUGCCGUAACUUCGGGAGAAGGCACGCUGACAC